rnacentral:lncRNA from 1 species
GUCAGCCUUACUUAGGGAUGUAAGAAAAGGAAAAGAAUCAAGUUGUAAUAAUAUUGUUAAAGCUGGAUUGUAUUUGGAAGUUAAAUGUAAAAUGAAAUUGUGAUGUAAAAUAUAUCUAGUAAAUGUGAAUGCUUAUAAUAACAAGUGGAUUAUGUUUCUGAUACUUCCUUAUGCAAUCUUUGUUUGAAAUGUGUUCUUGGUUGGAACUUCGUACAUUAUAUUGAUUGCGAUGCCUUGAAUGUACAGGGAAGACUCUGUCCGCGGUACAGGGGAAACCCUGUCUGUAACGACCCAGCCCACUAGCAAGAAUAACUCGUUGGGCCCAAACCACCAGCCCAAAAUGCUUAAGCCCAGUUAUUAUUACU